CAGUAGCCGCGGUAAUACGAAGGGGGCUAGCGUUGUUCGGAUUUACUGGGCGUAAAGCGCACGUAGGCGGACUUUUAAGUCAGGGGUGAAAUCCCGGGGCUCAACCCCGGAACUGCCUUUGAUACUGGGAGUCUUGAGUUCGAGAGAGGUGAGUGGAAUUACGAGUGUAGAGGUGAAACUCGUAGAUAUUCACAGGAACACCAGUGGCGAAGGCGGCUCACUGGCUCGAUACUGACGCUGAGGUGCGAAAGCGUGGGGAGCAAACAGGAUUAGAUACCCGUGUAGUCCCUGUCUCUUAUAC
rnacentral:rRNA from 1 species